AUUUUUUUAUCAUGAUCUGUAUGUUGAAUUAACGUCAUGGCUUCACCCAACAUUCAACAUGUUUGGUUACCAUGGUAUUGGAGGACUCCGCGCACGCGGCCACGCGCAGCGCUUUACUUCACGUAAUUACGAACACCUGACCUGCAGUGCAGCAGAAUUCAGAGACAUGUAACUUACUCCAGAGACGCACUAACUUGCACAGCAUUGAAUGGAAAAGGCUUUGUCCAUGUCCAGUUGAGGGCAUCAAGAACACGCAGAUGGCCUAAACCUGUGUCAGCCUGGACAGACUGCCGUUCUGCUACUCCACACCAAGGCUUUUGUAUAGAUGUCUUGACUGCUACUGUGUUCUCUAAAGGUUUUCUGGAAGCUCCAUUUGAGGGCAUCAAGGACAUACUGAUGGCCUAAACCAGUGUCAGCCUAGACAGACAGACAUCUAUUGCAGUUCUGCUACACAAGACCAAACUCUCUGCUUUUGUAUGGAUGUCUGACUAGUACGGUGUUCUCUAAAGGUGUAACUGGAGCAAAACAACAGCACCCGUUACAGUGAAAUUUGUGUUCAUAAAAGAUAGUGAUAUAUCAGGUGUAGUAACAGGUCCAGUACAUUUGUCAUAAAGGUUAAAUCACAGUAAGUACUGUAAAAAUAACUUGUUUGCCUUUGCCACAACAGGUCAUGGUGUGUACUUACUGCUCGUAAUAAACACACACGCUGAUCUGAUGCGGGAGAGAUAUAUGCAAACACAUUAGUAUUUACUGUUUUGUUUUGCCUCACUAAAGUGUUGUUGGAGCUUGGUAUGUUCACAGUUGAAAUUACUGAAGUCACAUGGAACGUUUUGACAAUGUGUUUUGUGCCUUAUUAUGACAAUGACCAUCUUGGGACCAUUGCUGUCUGUA
rnacentral:lncRNA from 1 species